rnacentral:rRNA from 1 species
UACGUAGGGUGCAAGCGUUAAUCGGAAUUACUGGGCGUAAAGCGUGCGCAGGCGGUGAUGUAAGACAGAUGUGAAAUCCCCGGGCUCAACCUGGGACCUGCAUUUGUGACUGCAUCGCUAGAGUACGGCAGAGGGGGGAUGGAAUUCCGCGUGUAGCAGUGAAAUGCGUAGAUAUGCGGAGGAACACCGAUGGCGAAGGCAAUCCCCUGGGCCUGUACUGACGCUCAUGCACGAAAGCGUGGGGAGCAAACAG